UUGCACCUUUGCCUCACCGUCUGAUGAUGCUGGCCAUGCAGGUAGACAGCACGACAUCAGUCAGUGGUUAUUGGUCACGGUUGAAGAGAUGGGAGGAGUGCGGAUCUUUGCGGCUGUGAGUGGUGCGCUCUGAAGACCACCAAAUGCCAUUCCUUGCCUGACAACUCAGUGCCAAAACCCCCCACCUGCCCCUCGACACCUCCAGAGCCAAACCCGAGACUCACCUGAGACGCAGACUCAUCGAGGCCACACCCACGUCACCCGCACCACCGCCAUCUUCAUCUCGUCCUGGACCCAGGGCCUCCACAACCAGCCUCCCCUCCUCCAGCUCCGGCCUCUGACACGCUCACCCUGCUGGGGAGAUAAAGGAGCCUGGCAGCCGUCGCCUUGAGCCGCGUGGAAGCUAAGCCCCGUGAGGUGUGAUGCGCGCAGCGUAGAGAGCGUCCCCCCACCCGCUCCCCGAGGCAGCGCAGCGCAGCCAUGAGCCAGCAGGAGGCGCCGCUGGGCGCGGAGCCGUGCGACGCGGCCGAGGCCGACCUGGCCCCCCCCCCUCCGCCGACGCAGCA